rnacentral:misc_RNA from 1 species
CAACCCUCAAGCCCGGCUUGGCAUUGGGCCUGGCCUGGACGGCCGGCCCCAAAGACAGUGGCGGUGCUGCCCGGCCCUGAGCGCAGUACAGCUCUCGCUCUAGGGUCCGGCGGCGGCCUGCCAGAACCCCCGACACCGU